UGUUUCCAUCUGCUGCUCGUUACCUCCUGGUCUCCUGUCCAUAUAUCCUCCUCCCUUCGCUCAGACUGGUCUCCAUGCCUUGCUUGGUCCUGUCUCCUGUGCUCCCUCCUUGAUCUCCACACCCGGUUCCAGGUUCAGCUUUAUAACUACAAAAUACUGAAGACAAAGUUGCUAAGACAGCAACACCUGAAGCUUCAGUACAGCAGCUGAGUGCUGCUGAGUUCUCACAGUCUCCACACAGGGUCAACUAAUACUCAACCUGUUUUAACAAGAUGUCCUUAAAAGAAAAAAUAUAGUGGCUCUCUCUGGCCUGUUCUCAUCACUCCUGUCAACGGAGCCAUUUCUGGACAAUUUUGUGAGCGGAUUACAGAGGCUGGAGGGCAUGAAGGGAAGAAGGUAGCUGGAGAAGAAGAGGGCAAAAAGGAGGAGGAUGAGGAGGAAGGGACUGCUGGCAAUAAAUAAGU